rnacentral:rRNA from 1 species
UACGGAGGGUGCGAGCGUUAAUCGGAAUUACUGGGCGUAAAGGGCGCGUAGGCGGUUUGGUUAGUCAGAUGUGAAAGCCCAGGGCUUAACCUUGGAAUUGCAUUUGAUACUGCCAGGCUCGAGUGUGGUAGAGGGAAGCGGAAUUCCGGGUGUAGCGGUGAAAUGCGUAGAUAUCCGGAGGAACACCAGUGGCGAAGGCGGCUUCCUGGACCAACACUGACGCUGAGGCGCGAAAGCGUGGGGAGCAAAC